rnacentral:rRNA from 1 species
UACAGAGGUCUCAAGCGUUGUUCGGAUUCAUUGGGCGUAAAGGGUGCGUAGGCGGCGCGGUAAGUCGGGUGUGAAAUCUCGGAGCUUAACUCCGAAACUGCAUUCGAUACUGCCGUGCUUGAGGACUGGAGAGGAGACUGGAAUUCCUGGUGUAGCGGUGAAAUGCGCAGAUAUCAGGAGGAACACCGGUGGCGAAGGCGGGUCUCUGGGCCGAUACUGACGCUGAGGCGCGAAAGCCAGGGGAGCAAACGGG